rnacentral:rRNA from 1 species
UACGUAGGGUGCAAGCGUUGUCCGGAUUUAUUGGGCGUAAAGAGCUCGUAGGCGGUCUGUCGCGUCGGAUGUGAAAACCCAGGGCUCAACCCUGGGCCUGCAUUCGAUACUGGCAGACUAGAGUAUGGCAGGGGAGACUGGAAUUCCUGGUGUAGCGGUGAAAUGCGCAGAUAUCAGGAGGAACACCGGUGGCGAAGGCGGGUCUCUGGGCCAAAACUGACGCUGAGGUACGAAAGCGUGGGGAGCGAACAGG